GCACCGGAAGGCGCACCGGAAGGCGCACCGGAAGGCGCGGCGGGACCAAGUGGAACGGGGGUGCGCUGAGUGUUCGCGCCCGGGCCGGCGGGGUCUGCGUGUCCGCCGAGCGGCGGGGCUGCUGAGGCCGGACGCACACGGCCGGGGUCUUAAUUGCCCCUCCGGCCUGCUCCGAUCCGCUGCGAUAUCGCGGCCUGCGCUGCGGCGGUCGUCCGCAGCCCGGCCCUCGUCCCCCGCUCCUUUGGUAGCUCCGCCACCCUUCCGCAUUCCUGGGCCCGCUGGGCGCGGCUGGGCAGGCCGCUGGAAUUUGACCCGAGUGGGCCGCGAUCGGCCGAGGAUUUGGGGUCCCCUUUGACCCAGGCGGGGCGCGAUCCGCCUAGGAUUUGGGGUCCCCUGGCGCCGAACCCUGAGUUGCCAGAUGUAGCAAGUAAAAGUACAGUUCUUCUAAAUUUGAAUUUCAGACAAGACAGGUUUUAGGGUUCGUCUCAUGUAAUGUUGAGAAGGUUUUGUUCUAGAUCGUGUUUGUGGCUGUGUUCUUCAGGAUAUUUUCCCUCACCUUGAGGAUUUCCCUCAUCUACCUUUCUUUGGGAGAUACGACUGAAACCAACAAAAGCCAAGUUUGGUAAAUAAGAAGUUUAAACAAGUGCUUCUCUGUACAGCUCAUCCACUUCCUCAUCUGUAAACCGAUCCCCCAUGGUUGUCAGCAGCUCUCUCAAGUAAUCUUCCUGUAUGGUGCCUGGAGAAUAAAGAACAAGGGAUCAGAAUACAUACUAUUCUGAGGGUUAAUUACAAAGAAUAUCUAUACUUGACUAAGCAUGUUCUGUAUGUUACAAACUAUAAACAUGCAAAUAUAUGAACUACAGGGUGUCCACCUACUUAAAACAGCCUCAGCAGAGAAGUGCCUAGAAAAAUGCCUAGCUGCUUAGCAGCACUGCUCCGCUCUAUCAUUUGCUCUAUCAUUCUGCCUCCACAUUCAGCUUCUGAUCUCUUGAUAAGAGAGACUAAACCUAUGCCUAAACAAAGUAAUAAAAAGUAUGGUUAAAGA
rnacentral:lncRNA from 1 species